rnacentral:rRNA from 1 species
UAGAAUUUGGUAGGGGCCAGUAGAAUUUCCAGUGUAGAGGUGAAAUUCGUAGAUAUUGGAAAGAAUACCAGUGGCGAAGGCGACUGGCUGGGCCAUUUUUGACGCUGAGAUACGAAAGCGUGGGUAGCAAACAGGAUUAGAUACCCUGGUAGUCCACGCAGUAAACGAUGAGUGCUAGUCGCUGGGACAAUAGUUUCAGUGUCGAAGCUAACGCAUUAAGCACUCCGCCUGGGAAGUACGGUCGCAAGAUUAAAACUCAAAUAAAUUGACGGGGGCCCGCACAAGCGGUGGAGCAUGUGGUUUAAUUCGAAGCAACGCGAAGAACCUUACCAGACCUUGACAUGGUAUGUUUGAAUUACAGAAUCGUAAUUCUUCAGUUCGGCUGGCAUACACACAGGUGCUGCAUGGCUGUCGUCAGCUCGUGUCGUGAGAUGUUGGGUUAAGUCCCGCAACGAGCGCAACCCUCAUUUUUAGUUGCCAUCAGGUUAAGCUGGGCACUCUAAAAAAACUGCCGGUGAUAAGCUGGAGGAAGGCGGGGAUGACGUCAAGUCCUCAUGGCCCUUACGGUCUGGGCUACACACGUGCUACAAUGGUGGUGACAGUGGGCAGCAAUACUGCAAAGUAAAGCUAAUCCCAAAAAACCAUCUCAGUUCGGAUUGGACUCUGCAACUCGAGUCCAUGAAGUUGGAAUCGCUAGUAAUCGUAGAUCAGCGUGCUACGGUGAAUACGUUCUCGGGCCUUGUACACACCGCCCGUCACGCCAUGGGAGUUGGUUUUACCUUAAGCCGGUGCGCUAACCGCAAGGAAGCAGCCGUCCACGGUAGGGUCAGCGACUGGGGCGAAGUCGUAACAAGGUAGCCGUA